GGGUUGUGAGGUUAAGCGACUAAGCGUACACGGUGGAUGCCCUGGCAGUCAGAGGCGAUGAAGGACGUGCUAAUCUGCGAUAAGCGUCGGUAAGGUGAUAUGAACCGUUAUAACCGGCGAUUUCCGAAUGGGGAAACCCAGUGUGAUUCGUCACACUAUCAUUAACUGAAUCCAUAGGUUAAUGAGGCGAACCGGGGGAACUGAAACAUCUAAGUACCCCGAGGAAAAGAAAUCAACCGAGAUUCCCCCAGUAGCGGCGAGCGAACGGGGAGGAGCCCAGAGCCUGAAUCAGUGUGUGUGUUAGUGGAAGCGUCUGGAAAGGCGUGCGAUACAGGGUGACAGCCCCGUACACAAAAAUGCACAUACUGUGAGCUCGAUGAGUAGGGCGGGACACGUGGUAUCCUGUCUGAAUAUGGGGGGACCAUCCUCCAAGGCUAAAUACUCCUGACUGACCGAUAGUGAACCAGUACCGUGAGGGAAAGGCGAAAAGAACCCCGGCGAGGGGAGUGAAAAAGAACCUGAAACCGUGUACGUACAAGCAGUGGGAGCCUCUUAAUGGGGUGACUGCGUACCUUUUGUAUAAUGGGUCAGCGACUUAUAUUCUGUAGCAAGGUUAACCGAAUAGGGGAGCCGAAGGGAAACCGAGUCUUAACUGGGCGUUAAGUUGCAGGGUAUAGACCCGAAACCCGGUGAUCUAGCCAUGGGCAGGUUGAAGGUUGGGUAACACUAACUGGAGGACCGAACCGACUAAUGUUGAAAAAUUAGCGGAUGACUUGUGGCUGGGGGUGAAAGGCCAAUCAAACCGGGAGAUAGCUGGUUCUCCCCGAAAGCUAUUUAGGUAGCGCCUCGUGAAUUCAUCUCCGGGGGUAGAGCACUGUUUCGGCAAGGGGGUCAUCCCGACUUACCAACCCGAUGCAAACUGCGAAUACCGGAGAAUGUUAUCACGGGAGACACACGGCGGGUGCUAACGUCCGUCGUGAAGAGGGAAACAACCCAGACCGCCAGCUAAGGUCCCAAAGUCAUGGUUAAGUGGGAAACGAUGUGGGAAGGCCCAGACAGCCAGGAUGUUGGCUUAGAAGCAGCCAUCAUUUAAAGAAAGCGUAAUAGCUCACUGGUCGAGUCGGCCUGCGCGGAAGAUGUAACGGGGCUAAACCAUGCACCGAAGCUGCGGCAGCGACACUAUGUGUUGUUGGGUAGGGGAGCGUUCUGUAAGCCUGUGAAGGUGUACUGUGAGGUAUGCUGGAGGUAUCAGAAGUGCGAAUGCUGACAUAAGUAACGAUAAAGCGGGUGAAAAGCCCGCUCGCCGGAAGACCAAGGGUUCCUGUCCAACGUUAAUCGGGGCAGGGUGAGUCGACCCCUAAGGCGAGGCCGAAAGGCGUAGUCGAUGGGAAACAGGUUAAUAUUCCUGUACUUGGUGUUACUGCGAAGGGGGGACGGAGAAGGCUAUGUUGGCCGGGCGACGGUUGUCCCGGUUUAAGCGUGUAGGCUGGUUUUCCAGGCAAAUCCGGAAAAUCAAGGCUGAGGCGUGAUGACGAGGCACUACGGUGCUGAAGCAACAAAUGCCCUGCUUCCAGGAAAAGCCUCUAAGCAUCAGGUAACAUCAAAUCGUACCCCAAACCGACACAGGUGGUCAGGUAGAGAAUACCAAGGCGCUUGAGAGAACUCGGGUGAAGGAACUAGGCAAAAUGGUGCCGUAACUUCGGGAGAAGGCACGCUGAUAUGUAGGUGAAGUCCCUCGCGGAUGGAGCUGAAAUCAGUCGAAGAUACCAGCUGGCUGCAACUGUUUAUUAAAAACACAGCACUGUGCAAACACGAAAGUGGACGUAUACGGUGUGACGCCUGCCCGGUGCCGGAAGGUUAAUUGAUGGGGUUAGCGGUAACGCGAAGCUCUUGAUCGAAGCCCCGGUAAACGGCGGCCGUAACUAUAACGGUCCUAAGGUAGCGAAAUUCCUUGUCGGGUAAGUUCCGACCUGCACGAAUGGCGUAAUGAUGGCCAGGCUGUCUCCACCCGAGACUCAGUGAAAUUGAACUCGCUGUGAAGAUGCAGUGUACCCGCGGCAAGACGGAAAGACCCCGUGAACCUUUACUAUAGCUUGACACUGAACAUUGAGCCUUGAUGUGUAGGAUAGGUGGGAGGCUUUGAAGUGUGGACGCCAGUCUGCAUGGAGCCGGCCUUGAAAUACCACCCUUUAAUGUUUGAUGUUCUAACGUUGGCCCCUGACCGGGGUUGCGGACAGUGUCUGGUGGGUAGUUUGACUGGGGCGGUCUCCUCCUAAAGAGUAACGGAGGAGCACGAAGGUUGGCUAAUCCUGGUCGGACAUCAGGAGGUUAGUGCAAUGGCAUAAGCCAGCUUGACUGCGAGCGUGACGGCGCGAGCAGGUGCGAAAGCAGGUCAUAGUGAUCCGGUGGUUCUGAAUGGAAGGGCCAUCGCUCAACGGAUAAAAGGUACUCCGGGGAUAACAGGCUGAUACCGCCCAAGAGUUCAUAUCGACGGCGGUGUUUGGCACCUCGAUGUCGGCUCAUCACAUCCUGGGGCUGAAGUAGGUCCCAAGGGUAUGGCUGUUCGCCAUUUAAAGUGGUACGCGAGCUGGGUUUAGAACGUCGUGAGACAGUUCGGUCCCUAUCUGCCGUGGGCGCUGGAGAACUGAGGGGGGCUGCUCCUAGUACGAGAGGACCGGAGUGGACGCAUCACUGGUGUUCGGGUUGUCAUGCCAAUGGCACUGCCCGGUAGCUAAAUGCGGAAGAGAUAAGUGCUGAAAGCAUCUAAGCACGAAACUUGCCCCGAGAUGAGUUCUCCCUGACUCCUUGAGAGUCCUGAAGGAACGUUGAAGACGACGACGUUGAUAGGCCGGGUGUGUAAGCGCAGCGAUGCGUUGAGCUAACCGGUACUAAUGAACCGUGAGGCUUAACCUUACAACGCCGAAGGUGUUU
rnacentral:rRNA from 1 species